GUAGAUUACUAUCUUGGCUUUGCUUCUCAAAUGCUUCAACAGAACUCUCCUCAAAUGCUUCAAAAGAAUUGGAAUACUUCUCAAGAAUCACAGCAGUUAGUGAGGGCAGUUUCUGCUCUUAGGCAACACUGCAUUGCCAACAUCUUCCAGAACUUAGCACCUACCUAGCCCAAAUUCUACAAUGCAGGAUUUAGUCAAUGGCUGUGGAGAGAUGCAUACUCACUGUUAGGACACUGGAAGCUCCCUUCUGAGUUUAGAAACUACCUGCAGCAAAUUGGGAGCCUGAAGUCAUUUUAUUUAUACUGUACAAGACGAUAAACUGCCUUCAUCCAGCAAAGAAAGUGCCUUCAGCAAAUGAUGAGACUGAAAAUGAUGGCUUAUAUGGAAAAGGGUUCUUUUCAUCUCUCUUCCACAUUAUGACACAAUGCAAAUGUAUCUCUGAUGAAAGAUGUAUGCAAGCAGUUAAAGGGACUCAUAGAUCUUUCGAUUGCUGAACCCUGCCCCUAGCUUUAAGCCCCAACUUUCCUUGGUGGGGGUGCUGAAGAAGAUUAAAAUUCUU